rnacentral:rRNA from 1 species
AUUGAACGCUGGCGGCAGGCUUAACACAUGCAAGUCGAGCGAGCGGCGGACGGGUGAGUAAUGUCUGGGAAACUGCCUGAUGGAGGGGGAUAACUACUGGAACCGGUAGCUAAUACUGCAUACCAUCAGAUGUGCCCCGAUGGGAUUAGCUAGUAGGUGGGGUAAUGGCUCACCUAGGCGACGAGCCCUAGCUGGUCUGGGAGGAUGACCAUCCGACUGGGAACUGAGACACGGUCCAGACUCCUACGAGAGGCAGCAAUGGGGAAUAUUGCACAAUGGGCGCAAGCCUGAUGCAGCCAGGCCGCGUGUAUGAAGAAGGCCCUAGGGUUGUAAAGUACUUUCAGUCGGGAGGCGUUACCGACAGAAGAAGCACCGGCUAACUCCGUGCCAGCAGCCGCGGUAAUAC